ACGGAGGGUGCAAACGUUGCUCGGAAUCAUUGGGCGUAAAGCGCACGUAGGCGGCUCGAUAAGUCGGAUGUGAAAGCCCUAGGCUUAACCAAGGAAGUGCAUUCGAAACUGUCAAGCUUGAGUAUGGGAGAGGAUUGCGGAAUUCCCGGUGUAGAGGCGAAAUUCGUAGAUAUCGGGAGGAACACCAGAGGCGAAGGCGGCAAUCUGGACCAAUACUGACGCUGAGGUGCGAAAGCGUGGGGAGCAAACAGG
rnacentral:rRNA from 1 species